UACAGAGACUGCAAGCGUUAUUCGGAUUCACUGGGCGUAAAGGGUGCGCAGGUGGCCAAGUGUGUUAGGCGUGAAAGCCCGGGGCUUAACCCCGGAAUUGCACCUAAAACUACUCGGCUAGAGCAUUGGAGAGGGGAGCAGAAUUCAUGGUGUAGCAGUGAAAUGCGUAGAUAUCAUGAGGAAUACCAGAGGCGAAGGCGGCUCC
rnacentral:rRNA from 1 species